GAUUUCUGACGAACCGGAGUGGCCCGUUUCCUCUCUGGGAAUGAGUGCCGCUUUGAGUUUGUCAUCCUUCCAGAGAGCUGCGUCUACCGUUUACUCGGCCGGACGUAUGCGAUCUGGAUCUAUUACUUUGAAAAAAUUAGAGUGUUUAAAGCAGGCUUUUUGCUAUGAAUACAUUAGCAUGGAAUAAUAAUUUAGGACUUUGGCCCUAUUUUGUUGGUUUCUAGGACUGAAGUAAUGAUUGAUAGGGAUAGUUGGGGGUGCUCGAAUUCAGCGGCCAGAGGUGAAAUUCUUGGAUUCGCUGAAGACGAACUCAUGCGAAAGCAUU
rnacentral:rRNA from 1 species